rnacentral:rRNA from 1 species
AUGGCUGGCAUCACAAGAGUCACAUCGAUCAAUGUCUGGGUCAGAGAGCACAAGAGAAGAGGAGAGAACAAAACCGAGAGGGUUACUGAACCGGUGGCGAAGAAGAUUAUAGAGACUCACAGAAGCAGCUACAGCGACAGCAGUGAGGCCGAACUUGAGCAGGAUAAGUCACAUAAUCAUCGCUUGACGCCCAAGUUGUCAUUGUCGCUGCAGCUCAAGCUCAAGCUCCACGCCUUCCUGGUCUGGUUGUUCGUUGACUUCCUGAUGCAUGUCGGAGUGGUGCUGAUCAGAUUCUCAAGCAAUGUGAAGAGCGUCGAGCCCGUAAUCACAUAA